rnacentral:lncRNA from 1 species
AUCGUGCCUCACAAAACUAAUAACUGUUUUCACGAGAAAAACGAAAUAAUAUAUUAAAUAGUUAUUUGGGAGCGAGAAUGUGUUGCUAUCGAAUCCCACCCAAAACUUCCGGCCGUUGGAUCUGGAGUGAAAUGACGAACAUCAGCGGAAAAAUUGCCAACGGGAUUUUCUGAACU